CGGCGAGUGAAGCGGUAACAGCUCAAAUUUGAAAUCUGGCCUCACGGUCCGAGUUGUAAUUUGUAGAGGAUGCUUCGAGCAUGGUCUGGCCUAAGUUCCUUGGAACAGGACGUCAUAGAGGGUGAGAAUCCCGUAUGCGGCCAGGUGCCUACGCUCAUGUGAAGCUCCUUCGACGAGUCGAGUUGUUUGGGAAUGCAGCUCAAAAUGGGUGGUAAAUUUCAUCUAAAGCUAAAUAUUGGCCAGAGACCGAUAGCGCACAAGUAGAGUGAUCGAAAGAUGAAAAGCACUUUGGAAAGAGAGUUAAACAGUACGUGAAAUUGUUGAAAGGGAAGCGCUUGCAACCAGACUUGCGCGCGGCCGAUCAUCCGGUGUUCUCACCGGUGCACUCGGCCGUGCUCAGGCCAGCAUCGGUUUUGGCGGCUGGAUAAAGGCCCUAGGAAUGUGGCUCCUCUCGGGGAGUGUUAUAGCCUAGGGUGCAAUGCAGCCUGCUGGGACCGAGGACCGCGCUUCGGCUAGGAUGCUGGCGUAAUGGUUGUAAGCGGCCCGUCUUGAAACACGGACCAAGGAGUCUAACAUCUAUGCGAGUGUUUGGGUGUCAAAACCCAUACGCGUAAUGAAAGUGAACGGAGGUGAGAACCCUUAAGGGUGCAUCAUCGACCGAUCCUGAUGUCUUCGGAAGGAUUUGAGUAAGAGCAUAUCUGUUGGGACCCGAAAGAUGGUGAACUAUGCCUGAAUAGGGUGAAGCCAGAGGAAACUCUGGUGGAGGCUCGCAGCGGUUCUGACGUGCAAAUCGAUCGUCAAAUUUGGGUAUAGGGGCGAAAGACUAAUCGAACCAUUGACCUGUAGGAACACUACUAGGUGGUUAAGAGGCGGCUAAAAGUGCCGUCUAGUCCCGACGCCGGGGCGACACUGUCAAAUUGCGGGAACAUCCUUAGAGCCUAGACUACCGCAGCCUUCCCGAAAGGGGGGUGCGCACCAGGGUAACGACCUCGGGUAUGGUAAUAACGUCUAGGAUUGGACAAUCCGCAGCCAAGCCCUACGGACCUCGGUCUAUGGGUGCAGUUCAUCGACUAGAUGGCAGUGGGUGGCAGCAAUGCCGCUUAAGAUAUAGUCAGACCCCCGGGAGACCGGGCGGCAGAACGAAGACCGCGGGGGGCGUCCUCUCUGAGAGCCCUGCGGUCCCGAGUCUGCUGGUGGCG
rnacentral:rRNA from 1 species